UACGUAGGGUGCGAGCGUUGUCCGGAAUUAUUGGGCGUAAAGAGCUUGUAGGCGGUUUGUCGCGUCUGCCGUGAAAAUCCGGGCUCAACCCCGGACUUGCGGUGGGUACGGGCAGACUAGAGUGUGGUAGGGGAGACUGGAAUUCCUGGUGUAGCGGUGAAAUGCGCAGAUAUCAGGAGGAACACCGGUGGCGAAGGCGGGUCUCUGGGCCGAUACUGACGCUGAGGAGCGAAAGCGUGGGGAGCGAACAG
rnacentral:rRNA from 1 species